CAUACGUUUACAUUUUAGAUAAGAUAAUAACGAUAUAUUCAGAUAAAAAUAUAGGUGUGUUAAAUUUUCAUUUACUUAUUAAGAUUACAUCUGUUUUCAUACUAAAAUAUGGAGGAAAGUCAAGAAAAGGCAUUGGAAACUUUGGCCUUAAAUGCAGCAACGGAAAAAAUAGCAGACAGUAUUCUAAUAGAAAACUCAGUAAACCCCCAUGUGGGAAAUGUUUUUAAAGUAAUUAAUAUAUAUCAACCAUCCAGUUCAACUGAUAAAAAUG